rnacentral:misc_RNA from 1 species
CAAAUUGGCGAUAUGCAGAUUCUGAGAGACGGUUUCAGCAUGUUUUGGAAGCUUGUGGUGUGUAUAAGUCUCUCACAAAGAUGGGUGUCAAGGAGGGUGACACAGUGGUUGUUGGAGAGAUGGAAAUGGUGUGGCAUGAUUCUCCUGGGGGCGCUGGUCCAUCGAAUAUGAAGAAAAGAUUUGAUCCAACGAAAUGGCCUCAGUUGAUGUAAUCCUCUUAUUUUUGGUUGAUCUCAGAAGGAUAGAUACAGCAGCCAAAAGUGUUAAAGCAAAGGCAUAUGAGCUUGUCCUCCAGCGUGCCUGAUGAUGCUACUUGAUGCAAAGAGAUUUCUCAUGCGCUGCA